rnacentral:rRNA from 1 species
UACAGAGGGGGCGAGCGUUGUUCGGAAUUACUGGGCGUAAAGGGCGCGUAGGCGGCCAACUAAGUCAGACGUGAAAUCCCUCGGCUCAACCGGGGAACUGCGUCUGAUACUGGAUGGCUUGAAUUCGGGAGAGGGAUGCGGAAUUCCAGGUGUAGCGGUGAAAUGCGUAGAUAUCUGGAGGAACACCGGUGGCGAAGGCGGCAUCCUGGACCGGCAUUGACGCUGAGGCGCGAAAGCCAGGGGAGCAAACGGG